rnacentral:tRNA from 1 species
GGGCCCGUGGCUUAGACUGGUUAUAGCGCCGCUCUGAUAAGGCGGAUAUCGCGCGUUCAAACAGAUAGGGAAUUUCCCCUCUGGAAUUCAUCGCGUCGGGCCCACCA